AGAAUUUUAAGUAUCCUAUGGGCAGUACUGUCUUCACCAUGGUGUUUUUGACAUAAGUAGCUAUGAAAUUCACCAUGGUGGGUAAAGUAAGGCUCAUAAUUCUCUCGUUUGUUGUG
rnacentral:precursor_RNA from 14 species